CACGAACCGUACGAACGUUAUUCGGAAUUACUGGGCUUAAAGGGUGCGUAGGCGGCCCGGAAAGUUGGGUGUGAAAGCCCUCGGCUCAACCGAGGAAUUGCGCUCAAAACUACCGGGCUCGAGGAAGACAGAGGUGAGUGGAACUUAGGGUGGAGCGGUGAAAUGCGUUGAUAUCCUAAGGAACACCAGUGGCGAAAGCGACUCACUGGGUCUUUUCUGACGCUGAGGCACGAAAGCUAGGGGAGCGAACGGG
rnacentral:rRNA from 1 species